GUGUUUGCUUCAGCAGCCCAUAUACUAAAAUUGGAACGAUACAGAGAAGAUUGGCAUGGCCCCUGCACAAGGAUGACAUACAAAUUCGUGAAGCAUUCCGUAUUUUA